GCUCAGGUGUGCUGUGGCAGCUUAACUUACAGGCUGAAGCUAGAACCUGUUCAUAGGUGAAUGUUUCAAUUCAGCGUGCAUCUGAAUAAUGAAGAUAGUGAUUGCUGCGUGCAGUUUCUUGCAGGCAAUAUGCACAUAAUGAAAGGUCUCAAAAGAUUCUAAAAGCUGAAGCCUCAAUUUUGAAAUUAUCUUCGCAGAAAUCAACUCCCAUUCUUCCCUGGAGUCUUCAGAAAUAAACAGCUGAGAUGCCAUGUGUAUAGAGCUCACCCUGAGAUCAGUGCAUGGGUAUACACAGUAUUUUGGAAUAAAAAAUAGCAUUAUUCAUUUUUUUUGGUAAUUGAGUUUUUAUAUAUCCUGAGAGAUUGCCAUGGCUCUGAAUUUUUUAUGCCCCAGUCUUGCAAAUAUUAUCAAUUAAUUCCAAACCAGUUAAAAUUAGCAAGUCAGGUAGGCAAGCCUUAGGCUGCUAAAUACAAAGCAACAAAGCCAAAAGCAGCACUGCUUAUUUCGAUGGACAUUCACAUUAAUUUUACUUGCUUUUCUAUAAACAAGCUGUGCUAUUUGUUGCACGUAUCCCAACCCAGAUUCAUGUCUUGGGCUGCUUCAGACACCUAACUGCAGCUCCCACAGCCAGAGUCCAGCUGCCGUAGGCUCCCUCUGCAGUCAAUGAGAAGUGACAAGCAUCCUGAGAGGGUGAUUCAUGGACCACACCAAAGAUCUGGAUCUCUUGCUCCACUGAUUA